rnacentral:rRNA from 1 species
AUAUCAAUAAGCGGAGGAAAAGAAACUAACAAGGAUUCCCUUAGUAACUGCGAGUGAAGAGGGAAGAGCUCAAAUUUGAAAUCUGGCAGUGUUCUACUGCUCGAAUUGUAAUCUAGAGAAGUGUAACCUGUGCUGGACCAUGUACAAGUCUCCUGGAAUGGAGCAUCAUAGAGGGUGAGAAUCCUGUCUUUGACAUGGACUACCAGUGCAAUUGUGGUGUGCUCUCAAAGAGUCGAGUUGUUUGGGAAUGCAGCUCUAAAUGGGUGGUAAACUCCAUCUAAAGCUAAAUAUUGGCAAGAGACCGAUAGCGCACAAGUA